rfam:Populus trichocarpa isolate Nisqually-1 chromosome 5, whole genome shotgun sequence.
UUACUUACCUGGACGGGGUCGAUGGGCGAUCAAGAAAGCCCAUGGCCUAGGUUGGCGGUUCUCAUUGCACUUGGACAGCGCGUGAGCCUAACAUCUCCCCAAGUGGGAGAGUGUACGUCAUAAUUUGUGCUAGUUGGGGCCUGCGUUCGCGCGGCCCCUCU